CGCACCACCCACCACACCAAACUCUCUCUAGCGAAUCCCUAAAAAAACUCUCUCUCGUGACCCUCACCCCCACCCCGAGCUCCUCUCCGCCACGAUCCCCUUGCCGUCGCCACCACACACGCCGGCUGGUUCUGGCGAGCUCCGCCCGCGCACAAUGCGCCCCCAAGCUCCGCCCUCCCUCCCCUCCGUCCAGAUCCAUGCCUAUGGGCCUACACCUUUGCCCGCGGCUAGGGUUUCGGGCGCCGACCCCCUGGCUGCAAUCACCACCACUGGUCUGGGCGAGCCGAUGUUUCUGCCGGUGGCCGGUGGAGCAGAGGUCUCCCGGAGCCGGAGCCGGCGACAGCGCCAUACCUACCAAGAGCUGGAGUUGGGACACCAUCGCUGCUUGAUAUCUUAAGGUUUCAGGCGUCAGGUCAACUUGGGAGAGACAAAUCGGGCAGUACUGUACUUGGCAACGAAUUGAGAGUGCAUUGAAGGAUAUGGAAACUAUACUGAAACAAGCAAAUCAGGCUGAAGAGGCCAUUGAAGCGAUAAGAUCCUUCCGUGACUGUUGUCCAAAUGAAGCUCAGGAGUCUCUUGACAAUAUUCUUCUUGGCCUAUACAAGGAUUUGUGAGUUCCUAGUAGGGAACACAUGGACAUGAAGUUGCGGCGGCGACAAAGGCGAUAUCGACAUGGGGCUGUGGGGGCGACGACAACAUCGACAUCGACACGGGGCUGCGGCGGCGGUAGCGGCAAUGACGACAUUGACAUCAACAUGGGGCUGUGGCGGUGGCGACGAUGACGACGACAUCAUCACGGUGCUGCAGCGGCGAGGACGACGACAUCAUCAUGAUGCUGCAGCGGCGGCGACUACGACGACAUCAACACCAUCAACACGGGCUUGUGGAGGCGCCGACGCCGACGACCUAUACGCGUGGCGUAUAUUGUAUAUCUAUAUAUAUAUAUAUCUAUGUAUGUAUGUAUGUAUGUAUGUAUUAAAUAUCUAUUUUAGUUAUGUAUGAUUGACUGUAACAUGUAUGUAUUAUGAAAUGCAUGUAUGUGAGUACUAUGAAAUGUAUGUCUAAACUGGAAUAUGUAGAUUCGUUUUAAAUCCUAAUUAGUUACUA